UACGUAGGGUGCAAGCGUUAAUCGGAAUUACUGGGCGUAAAGCGUGCGCAGGCGGUUGUGCAAGACCGAUGUGAAAUCCCCGGGCUCAACCUGGGAAUGGCAUUGGUGACUGCACGGCUAGAGUGUGUCAGAGGGGGGUAGAAUUCCACGUGUAGCAGUGAAAUGCGUAGAGAUGUGGAGGAAUACCGAUGGCGAAGGCAGCCCCCUGGGAUAACACUGACGCUCAUGCACGAAGCGUGGGGAGCAAACAGG
rnacentral:rRNA from 1 species